GUUAAUCAUGAAACAUAUAGUAUGAAUCAAACACAACUUUUGACUAAAAUAAAGGUGGAAACACCAAUAAAUUUUAUUGGUUUUUUCAAGUGUUACUCGUUUAACAAUCCGAACUACUUUCCAUUUUCUAAAUAACUGAAUGGGUAAUUUCAUGAAUUACUAAUCAAUAGCGAGAUCAAUAUAAAAGUGAGUGCCAGAGAGCUAUUGCUUUAGUUUCAGAUCAACAAUGCAACCGAGUAUUUUAGUGAUACUUUUUGGCUGCGUUGCAUUCGCCAAUUCCUUGGGAUUAAACCAGACUUUAUUAAAACCACCCAGGACCACUGAGAAGCCCGAAAUGGAUACCAAAUUGUGUAGUUCCAUGGUUAAUGCAUCUGCGGAUGGUGAUUCUUCCCAGUUAUUGCCAAGUAGCAAAACAAAUAAACCUGGAAACCCAUCUUUACCAACUCUGGCACCCAAUUCCACCUCAAGCACGGCACACAAUGGAAAGGAAAUACGUGAUAAGAAGGCGCCCGAUUCUCAGGAUGACUGUGAACCACACCCCGAGGGUGUUGGACCUCGAUUGGAUGCCCAAACUUUAAAAUCACUCGUUACUAAAACUCAUAUAAAAAAUUAGAGUAAUAAAAACAAUCAAGUAAUAUUUUAAAA